CCGAGACUAUGUGAGGCCUGAUAGAAAGCAAUUGUUGUUGGGGGAUUCUAUCAUAAGAGGUGUUAAGCUGGACAAUAGUGGUCUUGUGAGAUGUCUUCCCGGAGCUACUGCUCAAAGAGACAGGAGACAUAUUUGUAAUAUUGUUAAGCAAGCAAAGCAGGAAGGGGAAUUGGAUGUACGUGUCUAUCUAGGGACAAAUGACUUGGCUUGCAAUGAAGUUUCAGAGGCAAAGGAAGUUUUCUGUGUUUUUGCCAAU